AACGAACGCUGGCGGCAGGCUUAACACAUGCAAGUCGAACGCUCCGCAAGGGGAGUGGCAGACGGGUGAGUAACGCGUGGGAACAUACCCUUUCUUGCGGAAUAGCUCUGGGAAACUGGAAUUAAUACCGCAUACGCCCUACGGGGGAAAGAUUUAUCGGGGAAGGAUUGGCCCGCGUUGGAUUAGCUAGUUGGUGGGGUAACGGCCUACCAAGGCGACGAACCUUAGCUGGUCUGAGAGGAUGAUCAGCCACAUUGGGACUGAGACACGGCCCAAACUCCUACGUGAGGCAGCAGUGGGGAAUAUUGGACAAAGGGCGCAAGCCUGAUCCAGCCAGGCCGCGUGAGUGACGAAGGCCUUAGGGAUGUAAGGCUCUUUCACCGAUGAAGAUAAUGACGGUAGUCGGAGAAGAAGCCCCGGCUAACUUCGUGCCAGCAGCCGCGGUAAGAC
rnacentral:rRNA from 1 species